rnacentral:lncRNA from 1 species
GUCACUGCACAGAACGCCCUGCACGUAAGGGGCUCCGCCUGGAGAACUCAAGGGCUGUGAAAAGAGCAGGACCUCACCAGCUGCACGGCGGUGGUGACUGGCUCCAUCUUGCUGUCCCUCCCAAUCACACAACAUCUCCCCUUGAAGGCUCUGCCCAGGCCCGGACUCCCACCUUUCAAGAUGUCUGGAUCAGUGCAGGACCUCCUCCUUGGCCACAUCGCUCUCCUUGGACUGGAAGAGAUGGGGUUUCAUCAUGUUAGCCAGGCUGGUCAGGUGAUCCAUCCGCCUUGGCCUCCCCAAGUGCUGGGAUUACAGGCGUGAGGCACUGUGCCCGGCCUGCCCCCCUUUUCUCUUGAUGCACAUGACAGCCUUCUUGCAAUCAAGAAACUACGUGUGGCCAGGAUCUCAUCCACUAUCACAGUUUCAGCUUUCCCCAAACUGGAAUGUGUCUUUGCAGACGCCCAUCCUUAUUAAAGGGCAAAGACUUCUCAUACACCUAGGAUGGAUCUUAUAUUCUUGGCGGGACUGCAGAGAAGGUGCCGUGUCCUGAGUCCUCAUGUCAGGGCACAGGCUUCCAGCCAGUUCUACCUGGGUUAUGUUUAUCUCAAUUCCCUGGUGGUAUUGGUGUCUGCUGGGUUUUGCCAGAAUGAAGACACCGUGUUUUCAUUUGUCAGUUGAUUCGUAUUUUCCAGGAAGACAUUCUGAGAUUACAGCAUUGUCUUAGUCAAGGUGCUGCAGAAGGACAGAACUAAUAGGAUAUAUGUACAUAUGAAAGAAAGUUUAUGAAGAACUGGCUCACACCAUCACAAGGCAAAGUCCCAUGACAGGCCAUCUGCAAGCUGAGGAGCGAGGAAGCCAGCAGUGGCUCAGCCGGAGUCCAACAGCCUCAAACGGAAUCCAACAGUUCAGGCUUCAGUCUGUGGCCAAAUGCCCAGAGACCCCGGAAAGCUACUGGUGUUAGUCCCAGAGCCGGAAGGCCAAAGAACCUGGAGUGUGAUGUCCAAGGGCAGGAGGAAUGGACAGAAGCAUCCAGCAUGGGGUAAAGACGAAAGCCAGAAGACUCAGCAAGCUAGCUUACCUACUUUCUUCUGCCUGCCUUGUUCUAGCCGCGCUGGCAGCCGGUUGGAGGGUGCCCACCCCCACUGAGGGUGGAUCUUCCUCUCCUAGUCCACUGACUCAAAUUUCAGUCUCUCUGGGAGCACCAUCACACCAGAAACAAUACCAGCCAUCUAGCCACCCUUCAGUUCACCAUCACAACCAUUGUCUUAUUCAUGAAACUUCUGCAGACCCACCUUAACCUCCAUCGGUGACUUCUACCUGAAGCCCUCUGAUUGUUGCCCAGUGGUGCUUUUUAAAAUAAUUUCCAUAGUUUCUUCUACACCUUUAGUUGGCAUUCUACUGUAAAGGAGAGAUUUUAUUUUCUUACUCAUUUAUUUGUUAGUUUAUAGUCACCACCAUAUGGAUGCAGAGUUCUGUCUCAUUCACUGGGAAGUAUUCUAUUGCAGUCAUGAUUUAUUUUGAUGUUCACAUCCCAGAGUUGGUGAGUGAGCGCCCCUUCACGCUGGCUCCCGAGUGCUGACGUGUCCCCGUCCUUCUCUGCACUUUUCCUUACCUCCUGGCCUCAGAUAUUCCAGGGUCAUUUGUUCUCUCCCUGCUCCAACCCUGCAGUCAGCCAUCUCCCUAGGGACGUUGGUUCCUUUAUGGAAGGUGGCAUUUAGAAGCCAGGAUUUGGGCUGAGCACUGUGGCUCAUGCUUGUAAUCCCAGCACUUGGGGAGGCCGAAGUGGGCGGAUCGCUGGAGGCCAAGAGUCUGAGACCAGCCUGGCUAACAUGGUGAAACCCUUCCCCGUCUCUACUACAAAUAAAAAAUUAGCUGGGUGUGUUGGCACGUGCCUGUAAUCCCAGUUACUCAGGAGGCUGAAGCACCAGAAUCUCUUGAACCCAGGAGGCCGAGGUUGCAGUGAGCCAAGAUUGCACCACUGCACUACAGCUUGGGUGACAGCGCGAGACACCGUCUCAAAAAGGAUAAUAAUUUAAAAAACAGCAGGAUUUGGGUGAGCAGUGCGCUCAUUGCUUCUGGGCUCUCUCGGUGGACAUAGGCUAGGAAUGUAAGAUGUAUGUGCCUGUGUAUAUACACACGUCUGUAGCUAUGUCUAUGUUGCAUACAUGUGUUUUUCCAAAAACCAAAUCCAUAACCAUG